rnacentral:rRNA from 1 species
CAGUCGCCGCGGUAAUACGAAGGGCGCAAGCGUUAAUCGGAAUUACUGGGCGUAAAGCGUGCGUAGGCGGUGAGUUAAGUCUGCUGUGAAAUCCCCGGGCUCAACCUGGGAAUGGCAGUGGAUACUGGCUCGCUAGAGUGUGUCAGAGGAUGGUGGAAUUCCCGGUGUAGCGGUGAAAUGCGUAGAGAUCGGGAGGAACAUCAGUGGCGAAGGCGGCCAUCUGGGACAACACUGACGCUGAGGCACGAAAGCGUGGGGAGCAAACAGGAUUAGAUACCCGCGUAGUCCCUGUCUCUUAUAC